UGCAAAACGGCAACAGCUUACCAUGCAUGUUUGUACGUUUUUGUGUUUACAGCAGCCAUUGAAAGGGAGUGGGCCAGCCAGCAGUGACACCUGGAACCCAUUCAGGACUCACCAGGCAUGGCCAUGUACAGGGUUGCUCGCACCACGACCAUCAACAGUGUGGACCUCCACUAUUAUAAGGGCCUGCGUGGGAGCAACAGCCUGGAGGGGUUCCUUAAGUCGCUGCCCCAUAUGAUUUCAGGUCCCCACUAUGCGGCACCGCCUUACCAGGUCUACCUCAUCAGUGGAAUACCCAGGUGGAUCACAGUGGGGGCCCAAGAGACUUUUGUGUGAGGCCAAAGUGCUAUUGAUGUCCUGAAGGGAGCAGCAGGUAUGGACAAGAACCAGGUGCAUCUAUUCAAAAACCCAGCAACAGUGGAUCAUGUCUAGCAGAACCAGCAGAAACACCUAGAGUGGAUCCAGGACCCACCAGGGAGGAAUACGUACCAUGGUACAUGGUACACGGCGGUAAGAGGCAGCAACAGCCUUUAAAGUCUUCAUUUCUUUCUGCCCAGAAUCAUUCUUGGGCCACAUUGUACCGCUGUCCCCUUCUGGCUGGGAUCGCACACUGGAACAGCAAUCAGGAGUCAGCAGCGGUUAAAGGCCAAAAGACGAAGCAGCACCUGGUCUACGUGUCACCUCUUGUCCAUUGGUUCAACCAGAGGUGCCAGGAGCUUUUAUGGGAGUGUGGAGGAGGUUAAUUACAGGUCGCCUGUUCCCCCUGGUGAUGAGUGUAUUGGACUUGAGUAUUUGUUUGCCCAGUUGUCAGACUCUUUCAGUAAUCCUGACCUUUACGGAAGAACCGCCUGAAGUACUGCCUAAUUAAACAGCUGUGGCUUCACCCCAACUGUGGAGCGAAGACUUGUGGGUCACCACAAAAUCAGGAAGUCACCAAGCUGUACCAGUGUGUCCAGCAAAUGGUGACUGUUGAUGACCCUGAAUUCAGCAAGCCCGGGAUUCCCAUCGUGGAAAAUUAACACCAAAAGUGUUGCUGAGUUCAUCAGGAGACAGGAGGCCUUGUCGACCAAAAAUGUCACAGAUCAAGGCCUAUCCAUCCGUCAGCAGUCUCUUUCUGACAGCCAACCCCCAGCACCGAAGCUUCCUGAUGAACUGCCCCACACCAGCCGGUCUCAAGAACAGUAUGAGGUCACUCUGUCUCUGGCAGAUACCAGGAGACUAAAAAAAAGAGAGUCCCUUGUAGUUUGCCUCCAUCCUCCACCCAGCCAGAGCUGUUUUGUUCCACUCUGCCAGCUCAGUCACCACCCUGUUGCUCCACUCUGCCAUCGCUGUUUAUCCACUCUGCCACACGUCGUUGCAGAUCAAAAAGGAGAUCACAGUGGCACAGCUACAGUUAAAGUGCACAUCUGAGCAUGGUGUGCCCAACCCACUCAAGGCCACAAAAAGUACAGAAAAGAGACAUACUGCGAUACUUUUAAAUCAUCCACGUCCACAGAUCUUGCUGGACAGACAGAAUUUUGAAGAUUUUAAAAAGGCAGUGGACAUUGUCUAGGACUCUCAGUCCCAGGCCUGUGAGCUAUACAAUAGCUGUUGGACUAUUGUCAUGUUUAUUAUUUGUAAUGUGAUUGGCAUUUAAUAUAAAUAAUAAAAACGUAUCAGGAAGCUUUUCAGUUUUCAGAAAAACUCCAAAACAAAACCACAA